UACGUAGGGGGCAAGCGUUGUCCGGAUUUAUUGGGCGUAAAGAGCGUGUAGGCGGUUUGGUAGGUCCGUUGUGAAAACUCGAGGCUCAACCUCGAGACGCCGAUGGAAACCAUCAGACUAGAGUCCGGAAGAGGAGAGUGGAAUUCCGCGUGUAGCAGUGAAAUGCGUAGAGAUGCGGAGGAACACCGAUGGCGAAGGCAGCCCCCUGGGCUAACACUGACGCUCAGGCACGAAAGCGUGGGGAGCGAACAGG
rnacentral:rRNA from 1 species